AACGAACGCUGGCGGCAUGCCUAACACAUGCAAGUCGAACGAGACCUUCGGGUCUAGUGGCGCACGGGUGCGUAACGCGUGGGAAUCUGCCCUUGGGUUCGGAAUAACAGUUAGAAAUGACUGCUAAUACCGGAUGAUGUCUUCGGACCAAAGAUUUAUCGCCCAGGGAUGAGCCCGCGUAGGAUUAGCUAGUUGGUGAGGUAAGGGCUCACCAAGGCGACGAUCCUUAGCUGGUCUGAGAGGAUGAUCAGCCACACUGGGACUGAGACACGGCCCAGACUCCUACGGAAGGCAGCAGUGGGGAAUAUUGGACAAUGGGCGAAAGCCUGAUCCAGCAAUGCCGCGUGAGUGAUGAAGGCCCUAGGGUUGUAAAGCUCUUUUACCCGGGAUGAUAAUGACAGUACCGGGAGAAUAAGCCCCGGCUAACUCCGUGCCAGCCGCCGCGGUAAGAC
rnacentral:rRNA from 1 species